AUAGGUUAUGUAUGUUUAAUUAUCCAUGGUGAAAGUAAAUGCCAGAGAUUACCAGUGGGCACUGCACUGGUGUCCUUGCCAUUGUGGAUGGUGGUGGGCUUGUGACCACAAGAAGGGAUGGAUUGUCCAGUGGCAGGUGCGGUGCUGGGGGACCAGAUUCUACCAUCCAGCUCUUCCUGACAGCUGCUGUUGCAGUGGCCAGGAGCACCAGGCCCUUGUAAAUCACUGUAACCCAGAGCCCCUUUUGGUCCUCCACAGUAGGCAGCCCUGCCAGGAGCAUUUAACAGCAUUGCCAUACCGUAUGGCAGGGCCGCAGAUGCGGUGGGGAGGGGAUAAAGGGGGCAGUGCUGUUAAAGCAUAAAGCACUGCCACAUCGGACGUGUAACGUCAGCCAUGUAUGGUCUGGAACCAGUGGCCAAUUCUUACCGGUACACUGGACCAGCCCACUUUCACCUAUGGUAAGUAUGAGGUUUAUUCUAAAUAUCAGUGUUGUUAGUUUGCAGAAACAUAUUUGCAGCACAAAGACAUCAGUACGGUGGAAACAACACAGAAGGCUAAUACUGCGUUUAGAAGACAUAUAGCAAUUCUUCUAAUGAAGGAGUCAGAAAGCGUGGAGGACUACUGCAUAUACUGCAACCUUAUCGACUGUGAAAAAGAAAGUGAGGAUUGCACGAUGCAAAGGUCCAGUGUGAUUCUUGCAAGAGGUGGGCACAUAUACCAUGCAUUACAGAAGGAAACAAUCAAGAAAACCUGACAUAUGAGAAGAAGGAGUACAACUGCAAGACAUGUGCAUAGUUCACUUCAUUAACAAAAAGAAAAAAGGCAAUAAAGAAAACCCAUUGUUUAACUGCCUCUUGUUCAAAACAUAAUGCAACCCAAAGAAAUAUAUUUCUAUGUAUACAUCAGAUUAUAAUAAAUGUUCUUGAUGUUAAAUAAAUUAUUCUCUGUAUUUCUGUCCAUAUAUAUAAUGCAAACUAUAAAAUUUUAAAAGUAAUUUUAAAAAAUGAAAGUGGUGUCAUCAUAGGAGUGCUCCAUACCCCGAAA